rnacentral:rRNA from 1 species
GCUAGCGGCAGGCCUAACACAUGCAAGUCGAGGGGUAACAGGGAAAAGCUUGCUUUUCCGCUGACGACCGGCGCACGGGUGCGUAACACGUAUGCAACCUACCUCUUACUGAGGGAUAGCCCAGAGAAAUUUGGAUUAAUACCUCAUAACACCACAGGAUCUCCUGAUCUCAUGGUUAAAGGUUACGGUAAGAGAUGGGCAUGCGGACUAUUAGUUUGUUGGUGAGGUAAUGGCUCACCAAGACUACGAUGGUUAGGGGGUCUGAGAGGAUUAUCCCCCACACUGGUACUGAGACACGGACCAGACUCCUACGGGAGGCAGCAGUAAGGAAUAUUGCGCAAUGGACGAAAGUCUGACGCAGCCAUGCCGCGUGAAGGAUGACGGCGCUACGCGUUGUAAACUUCUUUUAUAUACCAAGAAACCUUCGGACGUGUCCGAAGCUGACGGUAGUAUAUGAAUAAGCACCGGCUAACUCCGUGCCAGCAGCCGCGGUAAUACGGAGGGUGCAAGCGUUAUCCGGAUUUAUUGGGUUUAAAGGGUCCGUAGGCGGAUCAUUAAGUCAGUGGUGAAAGCCGACAGCUCAACUGUCGAACUGCCAUUGAUACUGGUGAUCUUGAGUACGGUUGAAGUAGGCGGAAUAUGACAUGUAGCGGUGAAAUGCUUAGAUAUGUCAUAGAACACCGAUUGCGAAGGCAGCCUACUAAGCCGUUACUGACGCUGAGGGACGAAAGUGUGGGGAGCGAACAGGAUUAGAUACCCUGGUAGUCCACACCGUAAACGAUGAUUACUCGGUAUUGGCUUUAUUGUCAGUGCCCAAGCGAAAGUGAUAAGUAAUCCACCUGGGGAGUACGGCCGCAAGGUUGAAACUCAAAGGAAUUGACGG